rnacentral:sRNA from 1 species
GACCGGGUAUCUGGAUUCCAUAGGUUUUUCCUUUUCCCGUUGCUGGGUCAAGAGUCUCUUCGCAGCUUAGGGCUAGGAUCUUCAUUUGCCUUUUUUCUUUUUUGGAGGAAGGGGGUUGUGUCCACAUAUUUAAGUAUUUGAGGUUCUUGAGCAACUUCCUUCUUACUUCGCCUCGAGGCGUAUCCUUUUCUUAGCCUGAGGUGGGGUCCUCCCCAGUGAGAGAGAAAGUUGUUUGAGAUCCUUUCUUACUCUGUGCGUGGUUAAAGGCCUCCGGACUCAGUUCCAGGGAAAGGGAGAUGAGUGAUGGGGGGGCCGAGACUCGCGGGCUCUGCCCACUUCCGAAGAGUUAGACGCUUCCAUCUGGGUGGAGGGGUCCUGGGAACUAGAUUCCUGUGUUAGGAACCAAGUAGGUAUUGAGGGCGAAGAAACAAGUGGAAAGAGAGAUUUCUUUUCUUUUUUUUUUUUUUGAGACGAUGUCUUGCUCUGUCGCCCAGGCUAGAGUGCAGUGGCGCGGUCUCGGCUCACUGCAACCUCUGCCUCCCGGGUUCAAGCGAUUCGCCUGCCUCAGCCUCCCGAGUAGCUGGGAUUACAGGUGCCCGCCACCGCGCCCGGCUAAUUUUUAGAUUUUUAGUAGAGACGGGGUUUCACGAUGUUGGCCAGGCUGGUCUCGAACUCCUGACCUCGUUAUCCACCCGCCUCGGCCUCCCAAAGUGCUGGGAUUACAGGCGUGAGCCACUGCGCCCAGCCAGAAAAGAGACAUUUCUUAUGUGGAAGUCGUAGUAGUUCUCCAGGCUGGAGGACACACCUAAACAUGUGGAAUCCCAAUGCCGGUAGGUGUUUGGGGGUUCUCUUCCACCCCUAACCCUUUUUCUGAUGGGCCCUAUAACAGGAAGUUUCUGUAACAGCUCCCCUACCCCCGACCCGCCGUACCCGAAAAAGCAAAGUCCUUAGUGUACAGCUGACCAGUGCUUUUUAAUUUAAUUUUAUUUAUUUAUUUUUUGAGAUGGAGUCUCUGUCGCCCAGGCUCACUGCAACCUCCACCUCCUGGGUUCAAGCGAUUCUCCUGUUUCAGCCUCCGGAGUAGCUGAGAUUACAGGCGCAUGAUAUCACGCCUGGCUACUUUUUGUAUUUUUAGUAGAGACGGGGGUUUCACCAUGUUGGCCAGGCUGGUCUCGAACUCGUGGCCUCAUGAGAUCUGUCCACCUCGGCCUCCCAAAGUGCUGGGAUUACAGGCGUGAGCCACCGCGCCCGGCCUGACCAGUGCUUUUGUCUUCCUCAGAGUUCACUGUCUCCCUCCUCUCCCCAGCCCUUCCAGGGACAUUCCCCCUUUUCUCCCCACCUCAAGUUUGUCUCCCCUACCCUCCAUUCUCCUUUG